UACGUAGGGGGCUAGCGUUGUCCGGAAUCAUUGGGCGUAAAGCGUGUGUAGGUGGAUGGGUAAGUACCUUGUGAAAUCCCACGGCUCAACCGUGGAACUGCUUGGUAUACUGCCUGUCUUGAGGCACUCAGGGGCGAGCGGAACAAAUGGUGGAGCGGGUGAAAUGCGUAGAUAUCAUUUGGAACGCCAAUGGUGAAGACAGCUCGCUGGGGGUGUACUGACACUGAGACACGAAAGCCAGGGGAGCAAACGGG
rnacentral:rRNA from 1 species